rnacentral:rRNA from 1 species
GUAGGGUCCAAGCGUUAAUCGGAAUUACUGGGCGUAAAGCGUGCGCAGGCGGUUGUGCAAGACCGAUGUGAGAUCCCCGGGCUUAACCUGGGAAUUGCAUUGGUGACUGCACGGCUAGAGUGUGUCAGAGGGGGGUAGAAUUCCACGUGUAGCAGUGAAAUGCGUAGAGAUGUGGAGGAAUACCGAUGGCGAAGGCAGCCCCCUGGGAUAACACUGACGCUCAUGCACGAAAGCGUGGGGGGAGCAAACAGGAUUAGAUACCCUGGUAGUCCACGCCCCUAAACGAUGUCAACUAGUUGUUGGGGAUUCAUUUCCUUAGUAACGUAGCUAACGCGUGAAGUUGACCGCCUGGGAGUACGGUCGCAAGAUUA